CAGCGGGUCAGUGCAGCCCCACCCGGGCAGCAGACAGAGCAGGCAGGGAUGUGCAGAGGGCAGCUGGACCCUCAGGCACUGGGGCUGCACGGGGAUUGCACUGAAAGCAUCCGUACUGAAGGAAGGACUGGCCAGCAGGAACAGGAGAAGCAUCGGGAAGCAUUUCAGUUAUAUCAUAGAGCCCCUUCUCCGGAGGAAUUCCGGUCAAAGGGAAAGAGUUCAUCCAACACUAUUUAUUAGGCUCCUACGGGCACCAUUCCUGGCACUAGGGAUACCCUAGUGAACAAGCGCCACCAAAAUCUCUGCUCUCAUGGAGCUUACGUCCUUGUGAGGGGAAAGAGACUAAUGUAUGAAGGAAAUAUAAGAUCUAAUAUGUUAGAUUCUGGUGGCAACUGCUGUGGAAAAAAUUAGGUGAGGUGAAUUGCAUAAGAAGUGUUGGGGAUCAGGAACAUACUGUGUGCAAUUUGAAAGAGUAGUCAGGGAGGGCCUCACUAAAAGGGGACAUUUCAGCAAAGAUUUUUAAAAGGUGAGGGAAAGAGCCGUGCUGGCAUGUAAAAGAAGAGCAUUCCCAGCAGAGGAACAGCCAGUACAAAGGCCCUGAGGUAGCAGCAGUUUGUUGGGAGAAUAGGAAUGCAUUUGGAGCAGAGUGCAUGAAGGGGAUGGUAUAAGGAGGUGAGGUCAGAGAAGUACUCACGGCCAAAAUGUGUAGAGCAUUUGAUGCCACUGUGAGGACUUUGCUUUUACUUUGAGUGAAAUGGAGAAAGUUUGGAACAGAGGGGUGAUGUGAUCUGAUUUAUAUUUUAGUAGGCUCACUCUGGCAACUGUGUUGAGAGGGGCACAUAAUUCAGUGUUAAAUGAGACUUUCCAUCUGAAAUGCCCUCCCAAAUGGGGCAACGUCCUAAAUUCCUCGUGCCAAUGUUACAGCCGUAUCCCCUUUCUCUUGCAGGGGUCUUCUUGUGCCACAGCAGGACCACAGAUCUCUUGAGAGGUGACCCACCACGACGUGAAGGGGGUUUUCUCAAUUCUUGCUUGGCUGGAGCCCCUGCAAGAUGGUGUGGAAAGACCUGCGGUGGCUUCCCAGAACACUCUCCACACACUCACCCUGCUCCAAGUCGAGCCCAGAGCAGACGACGUCUCAGACAGCCGCAGGCUGUGGGGAUGCGGAGACUAAGAGUAGUCCAUCUGAGGAAGACAAGGAACCACCUUCACAACUGUGACAAGACAGACAGAUCAGCACCCAGAACCCUGACGUCUCAGGCCAUGGUGCGACCUGCCGUCCUUCCACAGGACGGCUUCUGCCAGAACUACAACCAGAUGGCAGAGUUGACGGGUUUUUUAUUAGCUUUUUGAACCUCUUCCCUGAAUUGUGAUUUUUCUUCUUUCUCUCCAUUUACUUCCUUGAACCUCUCAAGGAGAGUGAUCAAAUUGCAGCCUUUCUUCUCCCAGUGAAAUCAAAAUGGCCUGUGAGAUGUUCAAAUUAUGGCCGAGAUUCUCUUUCUUUACCAAGUCAGCUGAAUGGAUGAGAAA
rnacentral:lncRNA from 1 species